rnacentral:rRNA from 1 species
GGGUUGUGAGGUUAAGCGACUAAGCGUACACGGUGGAUGCCCUGGCAGUCAGAGGCGAUGAAGGGCGUGCUAAUCUGCGAUAAGCGCCGGUAAGGUGAUAUGAACCGUUAUAACCGGCGAUACCCGAAUGGGGAAACCCAGUGUGAUUCGUCACACUAUCAUUAACUGAAUCCAUAGGUUAAUGAGGCGAACCGGGGGAACUGAAACAUCUAAGUACCCCGAGGAAAAGAAAUCAACCGAGAUUCCCCCAGUAGCGGCGAGCGAACGGGGAGGAGCCCAGAGCCUGAAUCAGCAUGUGUGUUAGUGGAAGCGUCUGGAAAGGCGCGCGAUACAGGGUGACAGCCCCGUACACAAAAGCGCAUGUGCUGUGAGCUCGAUGAGUAGGGCGGGACACGUGGUAUCCUGUCUGAAUAUGGGGGGACCAUCCUCCAAGGCUAAAUACUCCUGACUGACCGAUAGUGAACCAGUACCGUGAGGGAAAGGCGAAAAGAACCCCGGCGAGGGGAGUGAAAAAGAACCUGAAACCGUGUACGUACAAGCAGUGGGAGCNNNNNNNNNNNNNNNNNNNNNNNNNNNNNNNNNNNNNNNNNNNNNNNNNNNNNNNGGCGUUAAGUUGCAGGGUAUAGACCCGAAACCCGGUGAUCUAGCCAUGGGCAGGUUGAAGGUUGGGUAACACUAACUGGAGGACCGAACCGACUAAUGUUGAAAAAUUAGCGGAUGACCUGUGGCUGGGGGUGAAAGGCCAAUCAAACCGGGAGAUAGCUGGUUCUCCCCGAAAGCUAUUUAGGUAGCGCCUCGUGAAUUCAUCUCCGGGGGUAGAGCACUGUUUCGGCUAGGGGGCCAUCCCGGCUUACCAACCCGAUGCAAACUGCGAAUACCGGAGAAUGUUAUCACGGGAGACACACGGCGGGUGCUAACGUCCGUCGUGAAGAGGGAAACAACCCAGACCGCCAGCUAAGGUCCCAAAGUCAUGGUUAAGUGGGAAACGAUGUGGGAAGGCCCAGACAGCCAGGAUGUUGGCUUAGAAGCAGCCAUCAUUUAAAGAAAGCGUAAUAGCUCACUGGUCGAGUCGGCCUGCGCGGAAGAUGUAACGGGGCUAAACCAUGCACCGAAGCUGCGGCAGCGACACUGUGUGUUGUUGGGUAGGGGAGCGUUCUGUAAGCCUGUGAAGGUGUGUCGUGAGGCAUGCUGGAGGUAUCAGAAGUGCGAAUGCUGACAUAAGUAACGAUAAAGCGGGUGAAAAGCCCGCUCGCCGGAAGACCAAGGGUUCCUGUCCAACGUUAAUCGGGGCAGGGUGAGUCGACCCCUAAGGCGAGGCCGAAAGGCGUAGUCGAUGGGAAACGGGUUAAUAUUCCCGUACUUGGUGUUACUGCGAAGGGGGGACGGAGAAGGCUAUGUUGGCCGGGCGACGGUUGUCCCGGUUUAAGCGUGUAGGUGUGUGUUCCAGGUAAAUCCGGUUCACUUUAACACUGAGGCGUGACGACGAGGCACUACGGUGCUGAAGCAACAAAUGCCCUGCUUCCAGGAAAAGCCUCUAAGCAUCAGGUAACAUCAAAUCGUACCCCAAACCGACACAGGUGGUCAGGUAGAGAAUACCAAGGCGCUUGAGAGAACUCGGGUGAAGGAACUAGGCAAAAUGGUGCCGUAACUUCGGGAGAAGGCACGCUGACACGUAGGUGAAGUGAUUUACUCAUGGAGCUGAAGUCAGUCGAAGAUACCAGCUGGCUGCAACUGUUUAUUAAAAACACAGCACUGUGCAAACACGAAAGUGGACGUAUACGGUGUGACGCCUGCCCGGUGCCGGAAGGUUAAUUGAUGGGGUCAGCGCAAGCGAAGCUCCUGAUCGAAGCCCCGGUAAACGGCGGCCGUAACUAUAACGGUCCUAAGGUAGCGAAAUUCCUUGUCGGGUAAGUUCCGACCUGCACGAAUGGCGUAAUGAUGGCCAGGCUGUCUCCACCCGAGACUCAGUGAAAUUGAACUCGCUGUGAAGAUGCAGUGUACCCGCGGCAAGACGGAAAGACCCCGUGAACCUUUACUAUAGCUUGACACUGAACAUUGAGCCUUGAUGUGUAGGAUAGGUGGGAGGCUUUGAAGUGUGGACGCCAGUCUGCAUGGAGCCGACCUUGAAAUACCACCCUUUAAUGUUUGAUGUUCUAACGUGGACCCGUUACCCGGGUUGCGGACAGUGUCUGGUGGGUAGUUUGACUGGGGCGGUCUCCUCCUAAAGAGUAACGGAGGAGCACGAAGGUUGGCUAAUCCUGGUCGGACAUCAGGAGGUUAGUGCAAUGGCAUAAGCCAGCUUGACUGCGAGCGUGACGGCGCGAGCAGGUGCGAAAGCAGGUCAUAGUGAUCCGGUGGUUCUGAAUGGAAGGGCCAUCGCUCAACGGAUAAAAGGUACUCCGGGGAUAACAGGCUGAUACCGCCCAAGAGUUCAUAUCGACGGCGGUGUUUGGCACCUCGAUGUCGGCUCAUCACAUCCUGGGGCUGAAGUAGGUCCCAAGGGUAUGGCUGUUCGCCAUUUAAAGUGGUACGCGAGCUGGGUUUAGAACGUCGUGAGACAGUUCGGUCCCUAUCUGCCGUGGGCGCUGGAGAACUGAGGGGGGCUGCUCCUAGUACGAGAGGACCGGAGUGGACGCAUCACUGGUGUUCGGGUUGUCAUGCCAAUGGCACUGCCCGGUAGCUAAAUGCGGAAGAGAUAAGUGCUGAAAGCAUCUAAGCACGAAACUUGCCCCGAGAUGAGUUCUCCCUGAGACUUAGAGUCUCCUGAAGGAACGUUGAAGACGACGACGUUGAUAGGCCGGGUGUGUAAGCGCAGCGAUGCGUUGAGCUAACCGGUACUAAUGAACCGUGAGGCUUAACCUUACAACGCCGAAG